rnacentral:tRNA from 1 species
ACCUGGUUGGCUCAGUCAUUAAGCAUCUGACUUCAGCUCAGGUCAUCAUCACUUGAAUCGUGAGUUCAAGUCCCACAUCGGGUG